rnacentral:rRNA from 1 species
UGCAGUCGAACGAUGAUCUCCAGCUUGCUGGGGGGAUUAGUGGCGAACGGGUGAGUAACACGUGAGUAACCUGCCCUUGACUCUGGGAUAAGCCUGGGAAACUGGGUCUAAUACCGGAUAUGACCAUUCCGCGCAUGCGGUGGUGGUGGAAAGCUUUUGCGGUUUUGGAUGGACUCGCGGCCUAUCAGCUUGUUGGUGGGGUAAUGGCCUACCAAGGCGACGACGGGUAGCCGGCCUGAGAGGGUGACCGGCCACACUGGGACUGAGACACGGCCCAGACUCCUACGGGAGGCAGCAGUGGGGAAUAUUGCACAAUGGGCGAAAGCCUGAUGCAGCGACGCCGCGUGAGGGAUGACGGCCUUCGGGUUGUAAACCUCUUUCAGUAGGGAAGAAGCGAAAGUGACGGUACCUGCAGAAGAAGCGCCGGCUAACUACGUGCCAGCAGCCGCGGUAAUACGUAGGGCGCAAGCGUUAUCCGGAAUUAUUGGGCGUAAAGAGCUCGUAGGCGGUUUGUCGCGUCUGCUGUGAAAGACCGGGGCUCAACUCCGGUUCUGCAGUGGGUACGGGCAGACUAGAGUGAUGUAGGGGAGACUGGAAUUCCUGGUGUAGCGGUGAAAUGCGCAGAUAUCAGGAGGAACACCGAUGGCGAAGGCAGGUCUCUGGGCAUUAACUGACGCUGAGGAGCGAAAGCAUGGGGAGCGAACAGGAUUAGAUACCCUGGUAGUCCAUGCCGUAAACGUUGGGCACUAGGUGUGGGGGACAUUCCACGUUUUCCGCGCCGUAGCUAACGCAUUAAGUGCCCCGCCUGGGGAGUACGGCCGCAAGGCUAAAACUCAAAGGAAUUGACGGGGGCCCGCACAAGCGGCGGAGCAUGCGGAUUAAUUCGAUGCAACGCGAAGAACCUUACCAAGGCUUGACAUGAACCGGUAACGCCUGGAAACAGGUGCCCCGCUUGCGGUCGGUUUACAGGUGGUGCAUGGUUGUCGUCAGCUCGUGUCGUGAGAUGUUGGGUUAAGUCCCGCAACGAGCGCAACCCUCGUUCUAUGUUGCCAGCGGUUC